AAAGAAUUAUCUUUAAAUUAAAGGGAAAAGAAAGUAUUAUAAAAAACAAUUUCAACUGUUGAAAUCAUGCACUGUUAUUAAACAUUUUAUCUACGAAAAAUGCACUUAUUACUUUGAUUACUCUAUUAAUCUUUAAUCCUAUAUCACUUGAAUGCACUAUCUCUUUUCAUAAACAAUAAAUUUAAAAAUUACAUGAAAAUGUUGCAUGUAUGCUGUAUUUGCAGUUACAAUAAAUAAAUAAAUGUUAAACAACUGA